UGGGGAAUUUUGGACAAUGGGCGAAAGCCUGAUCCAGCAAUGCCGCGUGUGUGAAGAAGGCCUUCGGGUUGUAAGCACUUUUGUCCGGAAAGAAAUCCUCUGGGUUAAUACCUCGGGGGGAUGACGGUACCGGAAGAAUAAGCACCGGCUAACUACGUGCCAGCAGCCGCGGUAAUACGUAGGGUGCAAGCGUUAAUCGGAAUUACUGGGCGUAAAGCGUGCGCAGGCGGUUUUGUAAGACGGAUGUGAAAAUCCCCGGGCUUAAACCUGGGAACUGCAUUCGUGACUGCAAGGCUAGAGUAUGGCAGAGGGGGGUAGAAUUCCACGUNUAGCAGUGAAAAUGCGUAGAGAUGUGGAGGAAAUACCGAUGGCGAAGGCAGCCCCCUGGGGCCAAAUACUGACGCUCAUGCACGAAAAGCGUGGGGGAGCAAAACAGGAUUAGAUAACCCCUGGGUAGUCCACGCCCUAAAACGAUGUCAACUAGUUGUUGGGGGAUUCAUUUCCUUAGUAACGUAGCU
rnacentral:rRNA from 1 species